UGGGGCGUAGCCAAGCGGUAAGGCAACGGUUUUUGGUACCGUCAUUCCCUGGUUCGAAUCCAGGCGCCCCAGCCA
rnacentral:tRNA from 4 species